GCUGCUUGGUGCCUAGCUGACUCCUGCGCUAGGUCAUGUCUCAUCCUGUGGUGUACCAUUGGCCAUUGCCAUUCUCUCUGGUCUUUUAUCACCAUUUUUUUUGCCGCACGCCGCUGCUCAAGGGCCCGUGUAGACGGACGGUCCCAUUUGUCUGUUGGAUGGGUGUAUGCUGCAUGCGUCUGCCCCUCCCUCGCUGCCGGCGUACUGCGGCUGAUGCACGACUGGACCACACCGACGUGCGAGCGCUGCGGCAUGGUCGCGCGCGAUAGGGCCCCUGAGGACGAGGCGUGCGCGUCCACGAUCCUGGUGACGACUGGAGGGAAGCCCCGGGAGCUGCCGUUCGCGCUGCUGGCGGAGCGGUGGAUGGGGGUGGCCUUGGUGGGGGCCACCAUGGAAUGGGGAUGAACGCGGUGGGGGCGCCGCCGGGGGGCGGAUCGGGGCGGCGAGCGAGCGGGAGAACACACUGCUCUCCUUUGGCCGCGCUGCCGACCACGCGGCCGUCGCCAUGGUCGAGUUCGACGUCCAGCUUGGACUCUCGUCGGCUCGUCUCGCUUCCUUCGACUGUACUCUGCUGCGAUCUAUUGUGGUGACCCUUGUUUGCUUGAUGGGCGACGCUGGUUCAGGUUGUACGAUCUCGCCCGUUGCUGCGUCCACGUUCUGCUCGUUGCUUCGUCUCUGUUUUACUCAUCAAGGUUUGCUGAUCUCCCCUCUGUCUACCUUCCUAUUCUGCUUUCUUUAUGUACUAUCAUGUUGGCUAUCCUACUGGUUGUUUCUGUAUGUACUAUCAUGUUAUCUUAGCCUACUAAUCGUUUGAAUAUAUUUAGCUAUCUUUCUAACAAUAGCCCAUCAAGCUAGAAAUAUUUCAUAAGCAACACUUAUUAUACUAGAGAUUGACGAGUAUGAUAUAAAUAGUUUAAUUAAAUAGCUGCCGUGAUAUGGAAAAUUCAUGUAUUUUCUGUUGCUGUUCAAGAGUAUGCCUGUUAAGAGAUUCAGUUGCCAUGGUUCCCUGGGCAAGAUUCAGUUUUACAUGGAUUAUUCUAGAUAAAUUCAAGUUAUUUGCGUUGGGACACCUAAGCUAACAUUUACACCUUUCUAUUUAGGAGAUGGCAGCAGUAUAUACAAAGUAUAUCACUAAUUAUUUGUAGAGUUCAUUCUUGAUAGGAACAGAACUGUUAUAGCUGAUGUCAACACGUCAAGGUGAGUUUCCAAUCCUUCUUCACUCCUCUCUCCCUCUCUCUCUCACUCUGCAACUCUACAAGCUUAUGUAGUGUGCUCUGCUCCAAUGAUUUUUAAUUGUUGUACAUAAAUAUCUCUUUUUCAUUUCCUAUGCUGAAAGGAAUGGUAAUGCUUAUGUUUUACUAUUUGUAAAAUUAACAUAUGCCAGUUGGCUUCUUCAGGUGGCUUAUUGUUGAUUUUAUUUUCUUGUCCGCCUCUAUGAAUUUUUUGAAGGACUUGUCAAUCCAAUGGAUUAUGAUGCACGAUGUUGAAUUAGAUAUGGCUGCCAGUAUGCAGGCCAUCUUGAGUGUCUCAUCUAGAUCAAUGGGAACAAGAAAGUACACAUAUUAGGAAACUGAAAUGUGACAACACUUAUUUUUGUCUAGAUGACUGCCAGUAUGCACGAUGUUGAAUUUUUGUCAGAAUAGCGUACCUAAACAGUUGGUUGUUCGUCUACAUUAAACACCCAGCUAUAAGAAUGGGUUGACAGCAUUGGUUGACUCUAUUGGCACUUCAAUGUUGUCCCGAUUCAUCAUUUUUUUGCCAUUGAUUUUCCAGAUGGUAUUUCAGAGGCUUCUUAUUAGUGUCUUCCAACUUCCAUACGAAGCAUGAGUGAAUUUCUUGUUUCAAAUAUUGAUUUGUUGAUUACGGACACUAAUUGACACUAUGACCUUGAUGCUUGAUAGAAUUGCAUCAAUGAAUUUCUUCUUUUCUUGUUGCUUUGCUCAAUGUAUAUCUUGGUCUGUUAUUGCGUGACUUUGCAAAUGUAAAACUGAGGCUUUUCGGCCUUGGUAAUUUUGAUUCUUGUCAUGUUUAGGAUUCAGACGGUUCUGAAACCACAUUUAUAGUUUUUAUUUAGGUUUGAGUUGCACAAUAACAAAAUCGAUGAUUGUUUACUUAUGGAUGGUAAUAUAUUUACUUUCAUUGGUUUUGAAGUUAUAAGAAGGUCACCAUGACAAUUGAUAUUAAGGUUUAGUAGUUCUACUCAUUUUUAUUCUUUGAGAUACUCCUCCAAUGCAAUUUAUUUUCAUCGGUUUUGAAGUUAUAAGAAGGUCACCAUGACAGCUGAUAUUAAGGUUUAGUAGUUCUACUCAUUUUUAUUCUUUGAGAUACUCCAAUGCAAUUUUGAUGCAACACUGGAUAUUUCCACAGCUUUAACCUUAUGCCACAAUUGCUUUUGUCUUAUUUCAGUGUGUUUAUUUGCCAUCUUAUGUGCUCAGGACCAAAAGAAUUGCUAAUCUUGCAGUUUUAAUAGACGUACAUUCUACAACAUGGUAAAAAAUAAGGGGAGCUUUUAGACGGCCUGUAGGUUAUCAUAUGAAAUCCGGUUAAAUUUUAGGAAGGUUUAGGAGUAUCUCCCUUUUUUGUAUAAAUUUGGCUCCACAAUUUCUUAAACAAUAGCUAGGUUCUAGAACAAACCUGCUAUGAAUAAUUGCAUUGUUACUUCAGUGAAAAGUUCCCGGGCAUUCUAUGUGUUCCUCUGGACUUGGUUGAAAGUAUUCCUUUUGUUAUCCAGUUUCUCACUAAGCAUGUUACCUUUGUUGCUGAAUUUUGCCUACAGUUUAUGUAUAUUAGACUCACAUGAUUACUUGAUGGUUGAUGUGGAUUCUACAACUUGGAAAACACAUCUAGGAUAUUCAAGUUGUGUGUGGCGCCCGGGAGAAAGCUUGCUAAUCCAUUCAACCACUUACAUGAGAAUCCAGUGCCGCAGGUGACUCAUUCAUGCAAGAACUGUUGUUAAGUUUUUCCUUUUCUCCUUUGAUUCUACAAGCCGCAAAGGAGUGAAGGGUAGAAAAUAUUUCCAUUCUCGUUGAAUUGGUGGGAUUGUCACCAAGUAAGUGCUCUAGAUGUUUCUAUUUUAGAGCAAGAAGCCAAAUCCGCUUGUUCAUUGUAAAUCUUGGAAAACUUGUUGUUUAUUGUCACUUCCAUAUCUGUUAUAAACUUUUGUUGCUGGUGUGGUAUUUUUCAAUCUUGGUUAGCCCAUCCAUUGCAGCAAUGUGCUUGUU